rnacentral:hammerhead_ribozyme from 1 species
AUUCAGCUGAUGAGUCUCAAAUAGGACGAAACGUGCUUCCUGUAU